GCAACUGCAGAAAAUAAUUUUGGCUUAUCCCUUUCUCCAAACAGACUAUAUAUAAUUUUUAAUAUCUGAAUUUUAAAGGCAAAGACCAGGAUGGUUGAGGAUUUGUUAAUGACUUAACAUAUUUAGUAUAAAUACUGCUCUAUGAAUCACUAUACUGGUAGGAGCAGGAAGAAGUGGGGAGAUGGAUAAGAGAAAAUUGGAGAGUAGGUGGGAGAAAAAGAGGAAUGUGUGGGCUGUUUGAGAAUGUUUCAGGCAAGCACCUGGGGUAAGGUGCAUCUCAAACCCAUGCUGAUUCUUCAUCAUGAUAACAGAAGAGGUUUCUGGUAAGGCAGAGAAAAGCAAGUGAUGCUGUUAACAUUCUAUCCACCAGAGUGAUGCUAAAAGAGAAGCAACCUCAUCCACAGCCAAUAUGUGUUGAGUGCCUGCCAUACGCCUAGCCCUGCUAUAGGCACUUGGGAUUCAGCUUCCCAACUUAUGGAGUUUCCAUUCUAUGGGGAAUAUAGGCAAAAGAGAAAUUAAAAGCCCUGUUACAUUGAUUUUGUGGCUUCUCCUAUCCCUCAUU
rnacentral:antisense_RNA from 1 species